UGAACGCUGGCGGCAUGCCUAACACAUGCAAGUCGAACGGAAACGAUGGGAGCUUGCUCCCAGGCGUCGAGUGGCGGACGGGUGAGUAAUACUUAGGAAUCUGCCCAUUAGUGGGGGACAACUAGAAGAAAUUCUAGCUAAUACCGCAUACGCCCUACGGGGGAAAGCGGGGGAUCUUCGGACCUCGCGCUAAUGGAUGAGCCUAAGUCGGAUUAGCUUGUUGGUGAGGUAAAGGCUCACCAAGGCGACGAUCCGUAGCUGGUCUGAGAGGACGAUCAGCCACACUGGGACUGAGACACGGCCCAGACUCCUACGGGAGGCAGCAGUGGGGAAUAUUGGACAAUGGGCGCAAGCCUGAUCCAGCAAUGCCGCGUGUGUGAAGAAGGCCUGCGGGUUGUAAAGCACUUUCAGUAGAGAAGAAAAGCCUACGGUUAAUAACCGUGAGUCUUGACGUAACCUACAGAAGAAGCACCGGCUAACUCC
rnacentral:rRNA from 1 species